UCCUGGUGGAACCAAGAUGUAUAAAGAUUUAAAGACACAUUUCUGGUGGAAUAGGAUGACGAGAGACGUUAGAAGAUGUGUGGUUCAGUGUUUGACUUGUUAGCAGGUGUCACGCCCCGAGACCCGUCUCUUUGGUGGAGAGAUCACAAGAAAGAGAGUAUUUGGAAGCUGAUGAGAAUGUAAAUAUGAUGUAAAUGAGCUGAAUGCUUGUAAUAUUUAGUACUUUAUAUUUUUGGUAU
rnacentral:lncRNA from 1 species